AAUGAGUUCACUUUCUUAGUUUAUGGCAUUUACCUGGUACAUAAUGCACAGGUGUAGUAUAUGCAUCAAAGGUCCACCUGGAAGACAGAGCUUAAAGGCUGAGGCAAUGAUCUUCUUGCAAAGUUGUUGCUGCUCAUUGUGUAGAAACUUUGCAGACACCUCCUAUGGUGGUUAUGAAGGGAGACUUGACGAGUGGCCAAACAUCAAGGCUUUAGUCAGCAGAAUAAUGGAACAGAUACCCUCUCUUUGGUAUGGGGCGAGUGAAGUGUAUGUAGUACCUUGCCUUGAGAGGGAAGCUCUUAAGGUCUAUUUAGGAUUGGAAAUCUAUGACUUAAAAGAGUAAGAGACUUUUUUCACUUCAUAUGAAAAUCCUUAUGUUACAUCAUCUCCAGAUAUUUGUUUGCCUUUCCCCCUAAAUUCUAAGGAAUUAGUUAACUUUAGUUGUACGUCAACGACAAGAA